GGGCCCAUAGCUCAGCCUGCACUCGUUUUUGGUCAAGCUUUUUGCUUGCAAAAAGGUUGGGGCAAUUAGAGCACCUGACUCUUAAUCAGGGGGUCAGGGGUUGAAAUCCCCUUGGGCCCA
rnacentral:tRNA from 1 species